CCUACGGGAGGCAGCAGUGAGGAAUAUUGGUCAAUGGGCGGGAGCCUGAACCAGCCAAGUCGCGUGAGGGAAGACGGUCCUAUGGAUUGUAAACCUCUUUAGGCGGGGAGCAAUGCCGGGCACGUGUGCCCGGUGGGAGAGUACCCGCAGAAUAAGCAUCGGCUAACUCCGUGCCAGCCGCCGCGGUAAUACGGAGGAUGCGAGCGUUAUCCGGAUUUAUGGGGGUUAAGGGGUGCGUAGGCGGAUUGUUAAGUAAGCGGGAAAAUGUCGGGGCUCAACCCGGGCCGGCCGAUGAGACUGGGGGACUAGAGUGGGUGAGAGGUAUGCGGAAUGCGUGGUGUAGCGGUGAAAUGCAUAGAUAUGACGCAGAACCCCGAUGGCGAAGGCAGCAUACCGGCGCCCGACUGACGCUGAGGCACGAAAGCGUGGGGAUCGAACAGGAUUAGAUACCCCUGUAGUC
rnacentral:rRNA from 1 species